rnacentral:rRNA from 1 species
AUUGAACGCUGGCGGCAUGCCUUACACAUGCAAGUCGAACGGCAGCACGGGUGCUUGCACCUGGUGGCGAGUGGCGAACGGGUGAGUAAUACAUCGGAACGUACCUUAUCGUGGGGGAUAACGCAGCGAAAGCUGUGCUAAUACCGCACACGCCCUGAGGGGGAAAGCGGGGGAUCGAAAGACCUCGCGCGAUUAGAGCGGCCGAUGCCUGAUUAGCUUGUUGGUGGGGUAAUAGCCCACCAAGGCGACGAUCAGUAGCUGGUCUGAGAGGACGAUCAGCCACACUGGGACUGAGACACGGCCCAGACUCCUACGGGAGGCAGCAGUGGGGAAUUUUGGACAAUGGGGGCAACCCUGAUCCAGCGAUGCCGCGUGAGUGAAGAAGGCCUUCGGGUUGUAAAGCUCUUUUGUCAGGGAAGAAACACCGGCUCUAACACAGUCCGGGAAUGACGGUACCUGAAGAAUAAGCACCGGCUAACUACGUGCCAGCAGCCGCCGUAA